GGACAACCUGCCCUCGGGAGGGGGAUAACCCCGGGAAAACUGGGGCUAAACCCCCAUAGGUGAUGGAUACUGGAAUGUUCCAUCACCGAAAGUCCGCAAGGAGCCCGAGGAUGGGUCUGCGGCGGAUUAGGUAGUUGGUGGGGUAACGGCCCACCAAGCCUAAGAUCCGUACGGGCCAUGGGAGUGGGAGCCCGGAGAUGGACCCUGAGACAAGGGUCCAGGCCCUACGGGGCGCAGCAGGCGCGAAACCUCCGCAAUGCGGGAAACCGCGACGGGGUCAGCCGGAGUGCCGAUGCUUGCAUCGGCUGUCGGGGAGCCUAAAAAGCUCCCCAUAGCAAGGGCCGGGCAAGGCCGGUGGCAGCCGCCGCGGUAAUACCGGCGGCCCGAGUGGCGGCCACUAUUAUUGGGCUUAAAGCGUCCGUAGCCGGGUUGGUUAGUCUCCCGGGAAAUCUGGCCGCUUAACGGUCAGAAUUCCGGGAGAUACUGCCAGCCUAGGGACCGGGAGAGGCCGAGGGUAUUCCCGGAGUAGGGGUGAAAUCCUAUAAUCCCGGGAGGACCACCUGUGGCGAAGGCGCUCGGCUGGAACGGGUCCGACGGUGAGGGACGAAGGCCAGGGGAGCAAACCGGAUUAGAUACCCGGGUAGUCCUGGCUGUAAACGAUGCGGACUUUGUGUCGGACAAGCUAUGAGCUUGUCCGGUG
rnacentral:rRNA from 1 species